CACGUAGGGUGCGAGCGUUGUCCGGAAUUAUUGGGCGUAAAGAGCUCGUAGGCGGUCCGUCACGUCGGAUGUGAAAUUCCAAGGGCUCAACCCUGGACCUGCAUUCGAUACGGGCGGACUAGAGUUCGGGUAGGGGAGACUGGAAUUCCUGGUGUAGCGGUGAAAUGCGUAGAUAUCUGGAGGAACACCAGUGGCGAAAGCGUGUGACUGGGCCGCAACUGACGCUGAGGAACGAAAGCCAGGGUAGCGAAAGGG
rnacentral:rRNA from 1 species